rnacentral:misc_RNA from 1 species
GAUGAAUAACGUAGCGAAAUGCGAUACGUAAUGUGAAUUGCAGAAUUCAGUGAAUCAUCGAGUCUUUGAACGCACAUUGCGCCCCCUGGUAUUCCGGGGGGCAUGCCUGUCCGAGCGUCAUUGCUGCCCUCAAGCACGGCUUGUGUGUUGGGCCUCCGUCCUCCUCCCGGGGGACGGGCCCGAAAGGCAGCGGCGGCACCGCGUCCGGUCCUCGAGCGUAUGGGGCUUCGUCACCCGCUCUUGUAGGCCCGGCCGGCGCUUGCCGACACAUCAAUCUUUUUUCCAGGUUGACCUCGGAUCAGGUAGGGUUACCCGCUGAACUUAAGCAUAUCAAUAAGCGGAGGA